rnacentral:rRNA from 1 species
GACAGAGGGUGCAAACGUUGUUCGGAAUUACUGGGCGUAAAGCGCGUGUAGGCGGCUAAGUAAGUCGGGCGUGAAAUCCCACGGCUCAACUGAGGAAGUGCACCCGAAACUGGCGAGCUUGAGUACGAAAGAGGAUCGCGGAAUUCCCGGUGUAGAGGUGAAAUUCGUAGAUAUCGGGAGGAACACCGGUGGCGAAGGCGGCGAUCUGGGUCGAUACUGACGCUGAGGUGCGAAAGCGUGGGGAGCAA